UCCAUUGGUCAGCAGUGGGCGCGGGAAGGUGAACCCGGAAAAGAUCUGAGGAAGGAAGAAAAGACAAAACCGCAAAGGAGGAGACGGAGGAGAAGAAGGAGAAGGAGAAGGAGACCACCCCUCUGCAGCAGCAGGGGAUGCUGGGAG